UACGUAGGGUGCAAGCGUUAAUCGGAAUUACUGGGCGUAAAGCGUGCGCAGGCGGUUAUGCAAGACAGAGGUGAAAUCCCCGGGCUCAACCUGGGAACUGCCUUUGUGACUGCAUGGCUAGAGUACGGUAGAGGGGGAUGGAAUUCCGCGUGUAGCAGUGAAAUGCGUAGAUAUGCGGAGGAACACCGAUGGCGAAGGCAAUCCCCUGGACCUGUACUGACGCUCAUGCACGAAAGCGUGGGGAGCAAACAGGAUUAGAUA
rnacentral:rRNA from 1 species